rnacentral:rRNA from 1 species
UACGUAGGGUGCAAGCGUUGUCCGGAAUUAUUGGGCGUAAAGAGCUCGUAGGCGGUUUGUUGCGUCGGCUGUGAAAUCCCGAGGCUCAACCUCGGGUCUGCAGUCGAUACGAGCAAACUAGAGUGUUGCAGGGGAGACUGGAAUUCCUGGUGUAGCGGUGAAAUGCGUAGAUAUCAAGAGGAACACCUGCGGCGAAGGCGGGUUGCUGGGCCGACACUGACGCUGAAGCGCGAAAGCUAGGGGAGCGAACGGG